AGAACGAACGCUGGCGGCAGGCUUAACACAUGCAAGUCGAGCGCCCCGCAAGGGGAGCGGCAGACGGGUGAGUAACGCGUGGGAACAUACCCUCCGGUUCGGAAUAGCUCAGGGAAACUUGGAUUAAUACCGGAUACGGCCUAGCGGCGAAAGAUUCAUCGCCGGAGGAUUGGCCCGCGUUCGAUUAGCUAGUUGGUGAGGUAACGGCUCACCAAGGCGACGAUCGAUAGCUGGUCUGAGAGGAUGAUCAGCCACAUUGGGACUGAGACACGGCCCAAACUCCUACGGGAGGCAGCAGUGGGGAAUAUGGACAAUGGGCGCAAGCCUGAUCCAGCCAUGCCGCGUGAGUGAUGACGGCCUUAGGGUUGUAAAGCUCUUUCGCUUAGGGACGAUAAUGACGGUACCUAGACAAGAACGCCCCGGCUAACUUCGUGCCAGCAGCCGC
rnacentral:rRNA from 1 species